rnacentral:misc_RNA from 1 species
GUAUUUUUUAAAAAAAUCUGAACUUCAAAACACGCAAAAGUGCAAUCUUUGAUUACUGUAUCUUAAAUUUCCCACCAACACACAAUCAACAAUGUUUCGACUCCUUCAAAUCAACAAGAAGUAUGUUUCUUUUCAAUCAGAACUUCAAAAGAACAAUCUUUGAUUACAGUAGCUUAACUUUCCCCACCAACACACAACCAACAAUGUUCGACUCCUUCAAAUCCACAAGA